rnacentral:rRNA from 1 species
UACGGAGGAUGCGAGCGUUAUCCGGAUUUAUUGGGUUUAAAGGGUGCGCAGGCGGCACGGCAAGCCGGCGGUCAAAUCGCGGGGCUCAACCCCGCCCAGCCGUCGGAACUGCCGGGCUAGAGUGGGCGAGAAGUGCGCGGAAUGCGUGGUGUAGCGGUGAAAUGCAUAGAUAUCGCGCAGAACCCCGAUUGCGAAGGCAGCAUGCCGGCUUCCUACUGACGCUGAAGCACGAAAGCGUGGGGAUCGAACAGG